ensembl:lncRNA
GUCAAAGAUACUAGAAAAAGCAGUAUCCUCACAACUGGAGGAUUGUUUCUUUCUCAGAGAAAAAUGAUAUCUGUGAGUAUUUCCAGUCAGGUUUUAGAUUGUGUCACAGAACUGAGACUGCUCCCAUUGGAGUUACAAAUGAUCUGGGGUCUCGUGUAUAAAACUGUGUGUACUGUAGGAUCCUUACUAAAAGUGUACAUGUGCUCAAAAGCCCAAAAUAGCAAAUGUCAAAAGACAUUCAGACUUAUAAAACCUGCCCAAUGCUACUGGAUCAGAGCGCCUUCAAUCACUCUAUGGAUGAAUUAGAGUCCUUUCACAGAUUCAUGAUUUUCAACUUGCAAAGCAGAAUCACAGUUCUGUGGCUUUCAAACAGGCGAGAGUGAGAGAGACACCAUGACACAUCACUGUUUAUGGUAUGUAAACACUCAAUUAUAUAUUUUGACAUAUCGCACUAUUAGUAUUUAGUCUGAUUACUUUGUGUGUGAGUGUGUACACACUGAAGUGUGAGGUUUGAGAACGUUAACUAACAUCAUAGCUACAUGCAACUCUGUGUAAUGUAGAUACUUAAUAGGUUUUUGUUAAUUUUUUAGGCGGAAUUUACUGAAAAAAAAAAGUUAAGAAUGAAAAGAGGACUGAGUCAGACACAGCAACAGGACAUCCAAGGUUUCUUCAAGAAGAAAUCAUGUCAGAUGCAGACAGUGCAGUCCAGUGCAGGUCAAAGCCAAAGUUCCACCUGGCAGGGCCAACAUGUUAGUAAGCAUGGAACUGCCAGCACAGGAUAUAGCUAGUCUGAGAGGACCAGUGAGGGCUACAACAGCAGCCACCCAUCUGCAGCAACAGACAUACCCUGUGAUGAAAGCUCCCAAACCUCUGAAGGAGAGGAAGACCAGUCCCUUAUCAGGCUUUGCAGACAGUGACAGAGAGCACCACCCAGACCCAUCUGGAUUGGCAUUUGCUGUUCCUGCUGGACCUCAAGGUAUAUUGACAAAUUUCAUCUUCCAGUGUUUUAGACCAUUUCACUAGUAUGAACAUUGUUGAUGUUGAAAUAACAGGGACUUAUGAUCAUAUUAAUAUGUUUAUUUAUUUAGAUAUUUCACAGUCCAGAGUGGUUGGUUCUGUGCAGCCUAACUUGAAGAUGUUUCUUAGAGUAAAGCAAGGGGAAAAAAGUAGGGCAUUUAAUUCUGCAUGGUAUAAAGAAUAUCCAUGGAUACAAUAUUCAAAAAGGCAGAACUCAGCCUAUUGUUUUGUAUACAGACAUUUUUCAC